GGGUCGUUAGCUCAGUUGGUAGAGCAGCGGACUCUUAAUCCGUAGGUCGAGUGUUCGAGCCACUCACGACCCACCA
rnacentral:tRNA from 26 species